rnacentral:rRNA from 1 species
ACUCCUACGGGAGGCAGCAGUGGGGAAUUUUGGACAAUGGGCGAAAGCCUGAUCCAGCAAUGCCGCGUGAGUGAAGAAGGCCUUCGGGUUGUAAAGCUCUUUUGUCAGGGAAGAAACGGUGAGAGCUAAUAUCUUUUGCUAAUGACGGUACCUGAAGAAUAAGCACCGGCUAACUACGUGCCAGCAGCCGCGGUAAUACGUAGGGUGCAAGCGUUAAUCGGAAUUACUGGGCGUAAAGCGUGCGCAGGCGGUUUUGUAAGUCUGAUGUGAAAUCCCCGGGCUCAACCUGGGAAUUGCAUUGGAGACUGCAAGGCUAGAAUCUGGCAGAGGGGGGUAGAAUUCCACGUGUAGCAGUGAGAUGCGUAGAUAUGUGGAGGAACACCGAUGGCGAAGGCAGCCCCCUGGGUCAAGAUUGACGCUCAUGCACGAAAGCGUGGGGAGCAAACAGGAUUAGAAACCCGAGUAGUCCCAUG